rnacentral:lncRNA from 1 species
GAAGACAAAAAUGUUCCUGUCCGAAGGUUGUUUUGGCUCUGGAUCUCUGAAGGAUUUGUGCGAAAGACUGAAGGAAUGAGAUUAGAGGAUGUGGCAGAUGACUACUUGAAGGAUCUGGUUGAUAGAAGUUUAGUUAUGGUUUCCGAACAAAGAACUAUGGGUAGUGUCAAAGCCUGCCGAGUUCAUGAUUUGGUACAUGAGUUUUGUGUGAAAAAAGCCAAAGAAGAAAACUUUCUACAUGUUUUGCAUAGUUGGAAUGAUCAUACUGGCCCAAACAACCUCUUGAGAGUUUGUAAUCGAAGUGUCAGGAAUUUGAGGAUUUGGGAGUUAGUGCUAGAAUUUCCCAAUGUACGCAGUUUGUUAUUGUUUAAGGAGGAUGAUUUGGGAUUUUGGUUACCUAAACUUCUUAGAGUGUUGGAUUUGGGGGAAUUGGAUUUUGGUGCAUAUUUUCCUAUGGAAGUAUUUUUGCUUGCUCACUUGAGAUACUUGGCUCUUCGUACUACAAAAGUAAAUUUCAUCCCAGCUGCAAUAGGUAACCUCUCAAGGUUACAAACUUUUCUGCUACGAAGAAACGACAUUGAUUGUUUGUUACCCAAGACUAUCUGCAACAUUAAGACGUUGAGGCAUCUAUGGACUACAAAUCCCUAUAUUGGCUUUAUUUUUCCUGUUGAAAAUCUUGAAGUAUCCCCAGUUUUAGAUCAUUUAGACACUUUAAGCCUUACCAUUGAUCCCUCCUCUCAAAGCUUGCAAAAGAUACUGACAAAGUUACCAAACAUCCGCAGGCUAAGAUGUAAGAUGAGGAAAUCAAGAGAGGAACCUACUAGAAUUUGCGACAGGAUUCUGGUGUUUGACUGUUUGAAUCAACUAGAAUCACUUACUCUGCCUUUCUUUGAUGAAUAUGGAUUUAAAUUCCCUUUGAAUUUGAAGAAGUUGACUCUAAUACAUAAUGAGCAGCCAUGGAGUGAAAUCUCAAAAAUUGGAAAGUUACCCAAUCUUGAAGUGCUUAAAUUAUUUGAGCACUCCUCUGGGGAAGAAUGGGAAAUGCAAGAAGGGGAGUUCCCUAACCUUCGAGUCUUGAAAUUGAGAGCCUUGUGGGAGUUUCGCAGCUGGAUUGCAUCUUCUGAUAAUUUUCCCCGUCUUGAGAAAUUGAUUGUGCACGAUUGUCACCAAUUGGAAGCGGUGCCUUCUUGUUUAGGAGAAAGUCCGACUCUUGAAAUGAUCGAGGUGAAAUUGUGUCGCGAGUCUGUUUCAAGCUCAGUGAAGCAAAUUCAACAAGAACAGAUAGAUAUGGGAAAUGAGGUUCUGAAGAUCUCGAUUGAACAUUGUGUUGAUGCACGGAGUUCCAGCGAAGAAGAAGAAGUGUCAAAUCCCUCAGAAACAGAAUCAAUCCCCUCACAAGAGUCCAAUUGAAGUUUCUUGAAAGCAAUUUCUGGAGCUUCCUUUUUUAUUUUUUUGGUUUGAGUUGAUGCAGCUACCUGUAACUUUGUGACUGCAAUGGCAAGCUGAGCACAAGUUUAUAUGCAAGAUACACUUUUCUCUUCCUUCUUUGUAUUUUAGUCGGAGUAGUACAGAAACUUUUAACUUGCUUCUUUUUUUCCUCAAUAAAGAACCAUAUACUCAAUUAAUUAAUAUGUUAAAACAUCCGUAUUUUUUGGCAACAAAUAUUAAGCAUUGACAGAAGAAAAAGGGGGAAAAAACUUGGUUAUGUUGCUUUUCAAAAAGAGAAAGGGCGUAGCAAAAGAACAGUAAAAUUUGCCUCAAAUGGUUGUCUUAUGCAAUUUGCGUAAUGUUGUUAUAUGCAGCCCAUUUUCAUUGGCAUUAGAGCAAGAAAUAGCUUUGGAUAUCAAACCAAGGACAAUGCUUUAGCAACAAUAGUUAUGGUAACGAUAGUUUUUACCUAAUAUAACAUGUUAUUGCACUUUUAGCGACCAUUUAAUUACUUGUAGUUCCUAUCCACCUAAAUAGGAUAACACCUAAAAAUAUGGAAGUAAGUUUUUCAUCUAAAAUAGUAAGUUAACCUUAAUAAAUUAGUAAUUUUUACACCUCAAAAGGUAAAUUGGAAUAAAUAUUAAACUUACUUUUUAAAUAAAUAAAUUACUACUUUAUAUCCCAAACUUACUUUUUAAAGAGUAAGUUUAGUUCAAGUAACAGUAAGUUUUUAUACAUAAAUAGUAAUUCUUACUAAUAACAUGAUAAAUUUGAUUAAUGAUCAAAACUUACUGAUUUUUGGAAUACAUGUACAGUUUUACAUUAAAAACUUAUCUCAAACUAGUAUUAGGAAGUUUAUUUGAAAUAAUGAUAAGAUGUUUUAUUAAUGAUUAAAACUUAGUACCUUAGUUAGUAAGUAUUCGUAAUAUAUCUGUAUAAUAAAUGAUUAUAGGUAUAAUUUAAUUUUUUUUUGUAUUUAUAUAUUUUAAAAUACUAUGAAAAGUAAUUUCACUUUUCAGAUAACCUUGUAAAAUAUGUAAUAAAAUUUUGUCAUAUUAUAAGUUUUUAAUCAUUUUCAAUUUUUGAAAAGUUUGAAAGUUUGGAUAAUAAUAACAACAAAUCUUCCUAGUUAUAUAUAGAAUAUCACUUGUUUAUAUAUCACAAUUUUUAUAAUUUAACACCUAUGAAUAUAAUAAGAUGAUAAAUUUUUAAUAAAUUUACAUCUAGGACACAAGAAUUAAUAAGAGUUAAAGUCCAAACAAAAUGAGAAAGAGUAUAACAAUAAAAAUGACAAAAUUAAUAUAACGGUUAAUAUAAGAAAAUCAGUAUGAUCUGGACUUUUUUCCUUGGGAGAUUGUUCAGAAAAAUAAGAUCCAACAAUUAAAUGAAAAUCACUUGCACAUAUAAUCUAUUGUAUAAUUUAACUUAAAUUUAGUUCAAGUAUAAAACGGUCCUAAAAUAAUUAGCGCACUAUGAUACAAUGUUAUUUUAACAACAACAAAUUUUUGUACUAAAAGUCUCAAAUAUCCAUGACAUACAUAUGAGGGAUAUUUUACCGUAUUUGUAUCUAACUGUAAGCACAAAUUUCAUUGCCGAAAAUAAAAGACACGAAAACUUACACGAAUGUCAAAUUUAUUAAAUCAAAUAAUAAGAGAGUUACAAUCUCUAAAAAUUCUUGAAUCAAAGAAAUUAAUCCCCUAAUUCUUCUCUUCAAAAGCACUCCUAAUUAAAGCAUAAUAAAAUCAAGUUUUUUUUAACUUUUUAAUGUAGUAGUUAUAUGUACUAAAAAAUUAGUAAACCAUUCCUACAAUGCAUUGCUUCUCCUAAAAGUAAUAAUAUUUUGUAAAUAAAUUGAAAUAAUUUUGUAAAAGAUUUUAUGCAUUUUCAUUAAUAUAAUCAAGAGAAUUUUGCACCUUUAAAAUAUAAAUAGAAAGAAAGGAAAAUGGUAUGAGUAUAAAGGUGACCAAAUGCAAUAUAUAUCACAUCGUGUGUUUAGAUAUGAUUUGUUAAAUAAUCAGUAAUUUAGUCCUGGUCAAUAUAUGAUGCAUAUUGAUUUCUUAUAAAUAAAAAUAUAAUUAUGCAUUAACAGAAUUCGUAGUUUGAAUGCAAUCAAUUGUGCACCUAUUUCCUUUUUUUAAGUAGCUAUUAUUUAUUUUAUUACUUAGGUUAUAUAUUUACAUGUAAAAUAACAACAAUAGCGUGCCAAUCCUCGGACCAACAGAACUUCAAUUAUUGUUAACUAAACUAAUUUUACAUUGAUAAAAAAUAGUCUAGAAAAUGAAAUGCUAAUGGCAACAAUUGGUAACAAUUAGCAAUCUUUUAAUUUUGGGAAAAUAAAAAAUAAGUUCCCAAAAUAUUUCACUUUUAUUUUUAAAAAAAUCUCAACUUGUUAAUUAAAUUCAAAAUGAUUUUAUUAUAAAAAAUAUUCGUCCUCAAAUUAACAUCAAUGAUUAGACAUGAGAUACAAAAAUGGAAAAAAGAGAUAAAAAUAUGGUAAAAUAUCUCUCAUACAUAUGUAAUGGAUAUUGGAGACUUUUGGCAAAAAACAUUUUUGUUGUUAAAAUAAUAUGUAUUGUAGUGUGCUAAUUAUUUUAGGAUCAUUUUGUACAUGAACUAAAUUUAAUUUAAAUUAUACAAUAGAUUAUAUAUAUAUGCAUGUGAUUUUUGUUUAGUGAUUGGAUCUUAUGUUCAUGAACAAUCUCCAGAGAAAAAAAAAUCCAGAUUAUACUAAUUCUAUUAUUUUUAUUGUUGUAUUAAUUUUUACACUAUUUCUCUCAUUUUGUUAGGUCUAUAUUAAUACAAGUUUAAUUCUUAUUAUUUCUUGUGUCCCAGACAAUAAAUAUAUUAAAACUUUAUCAUCUUAUUAUAUUAAUAGGUUUUAAAUUAUAGAAAUUACAUAGAUAAGUAAUAUUCCAUAUAUAACUAGGAAGAUGUGUUGUUAUUAUUAUCCAAACUUUUAAACUUUUCAAAAAUUAUUCAAAAUUAUAAUACAACAAAAUUUUAUUAUUUUAUAAGGUUAUGUGAAAGGUCAAAAUAUUUUUCACAAUAUUUUAAAAUAUAUAAAUACAAAAAAAUUUUAAAUUAUGCAUAUAAUCAUGUAUUAUACAAAUAUAUUACGAGUACUUACUAACUAAGGUGCUAAGUUUUAAUCAUUAAUAAAACAGUUUAUUGUUAUUUCAAACAAACUUCCUAGUAUUGGUUUGGUAUAAGUUUUUUUAAGCAAAAUAGUAUAUUUGUGCCAUAAAUUAGUAAGUUUUGGUCAUUAAUCAAAUUUACUAUGUUAUAAGUAAGAAUUACUAUUUAUGUAUGAAAACUUACUAUUACUUGAACUAAACUUACUCUCUCAAAAGUAUGUUUGGGAUAUAAAAUAGUAAUUUAUUUAUUUAAAAAGUAAGUUUUAUAUUUAUUCCAAUUUACCUUUUGAGACACAAAAGUUACUAAUUAUUACGGUUAACUUACUAUUUUAGAUAAGAAACUUACUUCCUUAUUUUUAGGCAUUAUCCUAUUUAGGUGGAUAGGUCAAACAGGUAAUCAAAUGAUCGCUAAAAGUAUAAUAACUUAUUAUAUCAAGUAAAAACUGUUUAGUUACCAUAACUAUAGUUACUACAAUAUUUUCCAUCAAACCAAAAGGAAAAGGAUCAAACCAAAAGGAAAAGGAUCUAAAAACUUGUGCGACAGUUAUCUUUAUAUGUGUCUUUCUUCGUUACACUAUUUUUAUGUGCUAACUUUCUCUAAUUAGUGGUACUUUUGGAAGUCUAAAGAAAGUAAAUAUUCUAAAACUUUUUCUUAACAGUUUCAUGUUUUAGUUUUCAUUCUAAGUGAUUAGCUAUUCAAACUGAUCAGAAUGAAAAUUCAAAGAAACUAGAUGACAAUUUUGUAGAGCAAUUUUUGUACUUUUUUUUAUCAAUUGUUCUUGCUCUGCAACUAUUCCUUCCUCUAGCGAAAUUAAUGACAAUCAAAUUAAAAUCUUUUGAGAUGGAAACAAGUUGACUGCAUUAAUAAUCACUAGUUUUUGCAAAAAGGAUUUUUUUUUAAAUUCAUAAUGCACUUUGCUUCACAUAUCAAAAUUCUCUCUACCAGAAAAUACUUUUUUUUAAUGAAAGAGCUCAUAUUUUUGUUAACAUAAUUUUUUUUAAUUUUAUUACACAAAUCUCUGUGCUCUACAAUUUGUAGAGAAAAAUUGUAUCAAUUUUUUUUAGGGUUGGACGUAAUCUAUUUCUUUUCACUACAUAUACAAUUUGAAAAUGGAGAGUGUUGCGAUGACGAGGAGUCACUGCUAUAACUCAUAAAUGAGUUGUUGAUAUGAUGCCACGGGUAGGUUUUAACCUACUAUUACACGUUUCACUGGCGACAAAAUUGUAGUAGUGAACUUGGUGUAACUAAUUGUAAGUUUUUUGCAGAAAACAAGUAACUUUCGUAAUUUAUGUAACUUACUAUUUAAAUACCUAAUCUUACUAGAUUUUUAGCAAAAAAGAUUCACUUUUUUAUGUCAAAAUUUAGCAUUUUUUUAUAUACAACCUACUACCUUUUUAGAAUUUAUCAGUUUUUUUAAAAACUAAAUUUGAUUAAUUGCUGCUUAAUUCUUAAUUCAAGUCCUGAUUCCUCCAUUAUCAAUUUUCCCAGCAAAAACUACAGGCCCAUGCUUUCAAGUUUGAUCUUGCCAAAUAUUAUGCAUUUGUUUGUCUAAAACAUCUGCUAACUCGACAAUUCCCAUUCAUUGUUUACAUUUCUUCUUGGCAUAAUCUCGUACAACUUAUUCUUAUUCUUUGUGCUAACUACUUAAUUUGGUAUCCUAAUUGACUUGCUUUUAUGUUUGUUCUCUGCCUUGAAGUACGCUAAGUAUCCAAAACAUAUCCGGUUUGUUUAUAAUAACUGGUGGCAGAGUCAAGACCUUAGGUUGGGGGGAUUCCACCUCCGAAAAUACAUGAAAUGAAGUAAUAAUAUAAUUAAAACCAAUAAAUAUUUAUGUGAAAUAUAACUUCUUUUUUCUAAGUUUAAUACGCUUUGAAGUUUAUAUUGUAGUAUUAACUUUAAGUAGAUUUAAAGUUCUUGUAAAUGGUAACCAUUGUGAAUUUUUAAUCUUUUGAGGGUCAAUGCAGAUAGAACAGGCACAAUGUCAAUGUUUACUCUAAUUAUACACAUUUCUAAUAAUAUACAUUUAUACAUUUAUAAAUAUAUUUAUAUUAUGUAUUAUAUAUAAUACAAUACACUUAUAAUACAUUUAUAUAUUUAUUUAUAAAUAUAAUAUAUAAUAAAUAAAUAAAUAUAAUACACUUAUUUAUUUAUAUAUAAUAUAUAAAUUUAUUUAUAAAUAUAAUACACUUACUUAUUUAUAAUAAUAUAUAAAUAUAUUUAUUCAUAAAUAUAUAAAUAUAUUUAUUUAUAAAUAUUUAUAAUUGUAUUAUAAAUGCAUAAAUGUAUAUAAAUAUAAAAACAUAAAAAUUAUAAAUUAUAAAUUAUAAGAUACAGUUAUAUAAUAUUCAUUUAUAAUUUAUAUAUUUAUAGUAAUAUACAUUUAAACAUUUAUAAAUAUAUUUAUAUUAUGUAUUAUAUAUAAUAUAAUGCAUUUAUAUAUAAAUAUAUGAAUAUAUUUAUUUAUAAAAGUAUAAAUAUAUUUAUUUAUAAAUAUUUAUAAAUGUAUUAUAAAUGCAUAAACGUAUAUAAAUAUAAAAAUUAUAAAUUAUAAUUUAUACAUUUAUAUAAUAUUCAUUUAUAAUUUAUACAUUUAUACAUUUAUAAAUAUAUUUAUAUUAUGUAUUAUAUAUAAUAUAAUACAUUUAUAUAUUUUUAUAAAUAUAUUUAUUUAUAAAUAUUUAUAAAUGUAUAAUUGUAUAUUGUUAUAAAAAUAUAAAAAUUAUAAAUUAUAAAAAUACUCGAAAAUAUGUUUUAAAAAUACAUCUAAAAGUAAUCCAUAAAACAUCUACAGUAAAAGUUUUUUAUAUAAUUUUUGAAAAACAACCCCAAAAACAACUAAUCCAAACGGACUUGUAUUUGAAAAAUGAAAUGCUACAGUGCUGUUUUUGAAAAACAAUCACAAAAACAGCUAAUCCAAACGGACCCACUAUCUAUAGCAGUGAACGCCAGUUUUCACUAAUUUGAUGCUUAUGCUUGUGGCUAAAGCUGGAUGACUUGUGUUAUAUGAAAAGCUAGACUUGAGAAGAUAGGUUUUGUACUAAACCUACCCAAAAAGGAAAAAAAAUUUCUGGUACUGUGAAUAGCAAAUAAGGAGCUUAUGUUGAAAUUUGUGUAGCCUUAAAUUUAUUGCUGUAUGAAGUUUCUCAGAAGAUACUAUUAUCCUAUGCUACAAAGAGCAAAGAUUUUGGAUAUUAUCUUCAUUCAACAUCUUACUUAGAAGUAUUCUUAUUAAGUGAUGGAUUGUACAUUAUUUUAUAGGAUAAAUCGAAAGAGACGAAGAAGAUUAUUCAAUUGGUUCUAAAAAAGAAUGAAAUAGAUGAAGAUCAAUUGAAGCAAAAAUAACUUUUUUCUUUCUUCUGCCUUUGACCUUUUUUUAUUAGGAAUUUCCUGUCUAAUGAAAAGACAAAUCAUAUUUAAAAGAAGAUAGGACCUUAGACUUGUGCCUUUUUAAAAAAUCCAUCGCUCAAAUUAAAUACUUGAAAUUUGCCAAACCUGGAACAAUUGAACCAAUCAUUUUGCAAGCCCUCGAUUGUUUUAGUGAUAUCCUUCUUUUAAGGUCCCUCAAAACACAUUUUCCGCUAGGUUAUGGGGCAGACUGGCAGAGUCUCUAGUCUUUAUGGCCUAGUAUGAAUAUCUCUUACAAGAAUUGGAAAUAAUCAGACCAUUUUCUUAUAUGAAUCUCACAUAUCCCAACCUCCUCAUUGCAAAUUACUUUUGGGGAUUGCGAUUCCAAUCUCUCCCAUCUCUUUCUCCUAUGAAACUAAUUUAUAUCGAGUUGAUUCUGGAAGUUUGCAAUUCUUCAUUAUCAACUUGACUGACAUGACUUUGCCUUGUGUUAGCCAUGCCAGUCCCAUGAAUUGGUUAAAAGAAACCAAUCUUAGAGUUUUUCAUUUCUACAUGUUGAGGUUCCCAGAGUUAAAGAUCUAGGAUUUUAGUCUCAUAAAUUGUAGAUUGAGUGCGAAUUUAUAUUAGUGUUUCCUCUACUCGAAAUAAAAAAAAAAAAUAGUGUUUCUUCCGUCAUUCGUGAAUUAGUGAAAAUUUUACUAAAUUGCAACCUAUUAAUGUGAAUUCAGCAAUAGUGGGUUAGUUAUAAUCCUAUAUAGUCCUCCGUCUCCAAAGUUAUCUUAUUUUUUUUCUUCCUUCUCACUAACUUUUUGUCUCUAACUUCCCUCGCUUCGCAAACAGAACAUCUUCCUCCUCAGUUGGUUUUCCUCCCCCUUCCUAUGGCUUUUUUUUUUUUAAUGUUUGCAAUAAAAUCUUUUUUUAAAAAAAAAAAUUCUAGUGCAAGUUUUCUCCUCUCCUAGAGAUUGCUAGUAGGAGUUUUCUUCUCUUCUAGCAAUUUCUAGUAGGAGUUUUAUGUAGUUUUCCAAUUCCUUUUACUAGAUCUUUUUUUUUUUUUUUUUUUGCAAAUUUAGAUGUUAGAUUUGAGAUUCCUUAAAUCUAUUUGAUAGAUCUCACUAUAAUAUUUGGACUUGAAGCAAUUAAUCAAGAGAACUGACAAUCAAAUGUAUGCAUAGAUGUUCUUAGGGCUAUAAUUUUUUAUCUUAUUUUCGGAAUGUUUGUGAAACUUUACAUUAUAAUAUUUAUCAAUUAUUCAGAUGCAUUUGUUUCUAUGUUUUAGAUCUUUAGUUUCUAUGUAUGUUUGAUGAUAUAAUUUCGUUAUCAGUGCAGAAUUUCAUUAUUAGUUUUUUUGCCCCUUUAGCAACAAAUAUUAAGAGGGGACUAGAAAAAAAAAGUGUUACUUUUCAACAGAGAAAGCGCAUGGGAAAAGAAUAGUAAAAUUUGCCUCAAAUAGUUGUCAUCAUUUUGCCUAUUGUUGUCAUAUGCAGCCCAUUUUCAUUGGCAUUAUAUCUAGAAAUAGCUUAGUGAUAGGUUGCAAUUUUAUCAUUUAUUUUAUAAUUAAUUUCCCAUAUUACUUGACCCGAUGUAGAUUAAUUGUUGAAUUUUACUCACUUUUAGUAUUUUACAUUUAUUUUAGAGAGUAGAACGAAAAUAUGAUAACAAGUGCUAAUUUGACAGGAAAGGAGUCCAAGUCACAGAACUUACCCGAGGGGCAUUGUUGGUAACCGAAAAACUUGGGCCCAUUUCGGUAAUUGCUGAGGAAGAAAGCACGGGCUAUAGUCUUAUUCCCUUGGAGGGGCCGCCGCACAGGAGCGAAGCUUUAGAGUAGCUAGAUAUUAGAUAGAAACAAAGCGUAGAGAACUAGCACUACUUUGAUGGCUUAGUCUUUGAUUUUUCUUUUUUGUUUAGCUCUUAGUAGUUUUCCUUUCAUUCCUCGGAUGUCAGGAGCAAUUAGGAGAUUCAAUCAUUAUCUGUAAAUUUCAUUUUCCAUUCAUUUGUUCAAACGAAUUGGGCUUUCCCAAACGCAGACAAUGACCGCAACUUUUGCUUCAAUUUUGUAUGGGUGUUCCGCAUCAAAUAUGAACUAAUUUCCUCACUCUAGUCAAGGAAUAACGGAGGGGUUUGGCUCGCCUAAACAUUGUGAGAUCGAUUUAAUUUAAUUUAAUUUUUUUAUUUAUUGAUAUUCGCAUAUCCCUUGAUUGUAGUAUUUAUGAUUAUUUAAUUAAUUGAUUGUCUUUGAGAACAGGUAUCUUGGGAGGAAAACAUCUAGUCACAGUAUUAUGAGUGACCAACUAGUAUUUAUAGGAGUACAAACCUAACCGACUAUUUACAAGAAUACCCUUACUAAUAUAUUAUCUACAAGAAUACUAAUAUUCUCCUAACACUCCCCCUCAAGUUGGAGCAUAUAUAUCAUAAGCACCCAACUUGUUACAAAGGUAUUUCACCCUAGAGCCCCCUAAACUCUUGGUAAACAAAUCAGCCAAUUGAUCUGCAGACGGUACAUGAGAUGUCUUGAUGACUCCAUCAAGUAAUUUCUCUCGAAUGAAAUGACAAUCAACUUCAAUAUGUUUUGUCCUUUCAUGAAACACUGGAUUAGACGCAAUAUGGACAGCCGCCUGAUUAUCACACACUAAAUUCAUAGGCUGUUUAUACUCAAACCCAAUUUCAAGUAACAUGCUUUUCAACCAAACCAACUCACACACAGUGUGAGCCAUAGCACGGUAUUCAGAUUCUGCACUUGAUCUGGAGACAACUGUUUGCUUCUUACUCUUCCACGACACUAAAUUACCACCAACAAACACACAAUAUCCUGUGGUCGAUCUUCGAUCUGAGGCAGAACCGGCCCAAUCUGCAUCACUAUAUCCUUCAAUAUCAGUGUGUCCAUGAUUUUGAUACAGCAACCCUUUUCCAGGAGCACCCUUAAGAUACCUGAGAAUCCGUAUAACAGCAUCCCAAUGACUAGUACGAGGGGUAUCAAGAAAUUGACUCACAACACUCACUGCAAACGAAAUAUCAGGUCUCGUUACAGUGAGAUAAUUUAACUUACCCACAAGUCUUCGAUAUUGCUUAGGAUCAUCAAGUAAUGCUCCUUGAUCUCUUGCUAAUUUCACAUUGGGAUCCAUAGGAGUAUCCACAGGUCGGCAACCUAACAUCCCAACUUCACUCAACAUAUUGAGUACAUAUUUCCUUUGACAUAAAUAAAUUCCAUAUUUAGACCGAGCUACCUCAAUACCCAGAAAAUACUGUAAAUGACCUAAAUCUUUUGUCUGAAAGUUUGCCUGCAGAUUGGAUUUAAGUUUCUGGAUCCCCACAACAUCAUCACCUGUAAUCACAAUAUCAUUCACAUAAACAACUAAUAAAAUUUUACCAGCAUUAGAAUGCCCAUAAAAUACAGAGUGAUCUACUCCACAUCUCGUCAAACCGAACUCCAUGACCACACUACUAAACCGCCCAAACCAAGCCCUUGGAGACUGUUUCAAUCCAUAUAAGGAUUUUUUCAAACGACAAACCAACUGCGAAUUCUCCCCCUGAACAACAAAUCCAGGAGGUUGUUCCAUAUAUACCUCUUCUUCCAAAUCUCCAUGCAGAAAUGCAUUUUUCACAUCCAACUGAUGCAAUGGCCAAUUGUAAGUUGCUGCCAAAGAGAUAAGAAGGCGAACCGAUGUAAUCUUUGCAACAGGAGAAAAUAUUUCUAAGUAGUCUACUCCAUACACCUGAGUAAAUUCUCGAGCUACCAGACGAGCCUUCAAUCUAUCAAUAGAACCGUUAGGCUGCACCUUUAUAGUGUACACCCAUUUACAACCAACAACAGGCUUACCUGAAGGACGAGGGACAAGAUCCCAAGUACUAUUUUGUUCCAAAGCAGACAUCUCUUCUUGCAUAGCUAAUCUCCAACCAGGAUGAUUAAGAGCAUAGGUAAUAGACUUAGGAAUGGAGAUAGAAUCAAGGGAAGCAACAAAAGAAGAAUAUGACAUAGAGAGACGAGAAUAAGACACAAAAUUAGAAAUAGGAUGGGAAGUACAAUGUCUCUUACCUUUGCGUAAAGCAAUAGGAAGAUCUAACUCAGAGGAGGGCGUCAUACCUGAAUUUGAAGAUUAAGAGUUAAUUGGUGAAGUGCGUGGCAUAUCAGGAACUUUCUCAACCAUGGAACGACGAGAGUAAACUUGAAGAUGAGGACGAGAUAAUCGAGCUAUGGAAUCUGGUGGACUAGAUAACUCAGGUAAUAAAGGGGAAGGGACUGGUAAAACAGGAGAAGAAAAAGAGGGACACUGGUCUAACUCACAAGGCAUACUGUGUUUGAUAAAAUAUGGAGUAGAUUCAAAGAAAGUAACAUCAGCACAAGUAAAAAAUCGAUUUAAAACUGGACUGUAACAUCUAUACCCUUUUUGCGCUCGUGCGUAUCCUAAGAAAAUACACUUAAUAGCACGAGAAUCUAAUUUAUUCACCCCGGGAGUAAGCUGAUGAAUAAAGCACACACAUCCAAAAAUACGAGGAGGUAAUUUAAACACAGGUUCAUGAGGAAAAAGAAUGGAGUGAGGUAAUUGACCUCCAAGAAUAUUAGAUGGCAUGCGAUUAAUUAAAUAACAUGCAGUUAGAACUGCAUCACUCAAAAAUUGUUUGGGCACAUUCAUGUGCAACAACAGUGUUCGAGCAAUUUCGAUUAAAUGUCCAAUUUUUCUUUCAACAACUCUAUUCUGUUGUGGAGUGUGAGGACAAGAGGACUGAUGAAUAAUACCAGACUUACUCAUAAAGGUAUUAAAAGGAGUGAAAAAAUAUUCUUUCGCAUUAUCACUGCGAAGUAUACGUACCGGCACACCAAAUUGAUUCUUUAUUUCUGCAACAAAUGCACAAAAAAUAGAAUAUAGUUCUGAACGAUCUUUCAUUAAAUAAAGCCAGGUAACUCUUGAAAAAUCAUCAACAAAGAUUACAAAAUAUUUAAAGCCUAACUUUGAAGUGACUCGACUAGGAUCCCAAACAUCAGAAUGAACUAACAAAAACGGUUCAGAAACCCGUUUAUUGACUCUAGGAGCAAAAGAAACACGAUGAUGCUUUCCUAACUGACAAGACUCACAUUCUAACGAAGAUAAUUGACUCAAAAUAGGAACCAACUUUUUCAAAUUUUGUAAAGAUGGAUGACCUAAACGACAGUGAAUUUCAAGAGGAGAAACAGUAGCAGGACAUGCUAUCGGACCAUUGAAGUUGAGAAAGUAAAGACCAUUAUGCUCAUGCCCUCCACCAAUCGUCCUCUUUGUCUUCAAAUCCUGAAUGACAACAGAAUCAGGAGAGAAAGUAACUGUACACUGUAGAAAUUUAGUGAGCUUACUAACAGACAUUAGAUUAAAGGGUAAAUUGGGUACGUAAAGAACAGAAGACAGCGGAAGUGAUUGAUUAAUUUCUACAGUGCCUCGUCCUUUAACUUUAGUGGUAGAUCCAUCAGCUAAAGUAACAUGAGGAAAGGGAGUACACUCUUGAAAAUUUAAAAAAAUUUUAGAGGUACCUGACAUAUGAUCAGUAGCUCCGGAGUCAAUAAUCCAUGAGUCAUUACCUUUUUGUGCAAAAGAAGCAGAGGGAAGAGAUGCGUGAUUUGUAGCUUGGUACUGUAGGAAUUUAACAUAAUCUUUCUCAGAUAUAGUAACAGUUUUCUGGGACCCAUGUGCUGAAAAACUCGAUUCAAUGUGGUCAUUGGUAACCGCAUUAACAAACCUUUCAACCAUGGCGAAUGGCACGUCAAAACAAAGAAAAGGUCAAAACUCGAGAUGAACAGCGUGUGAACAGUGAACAGCGCCGCGAACAGUGAACAGUGUCGCAUGAACAGUAUGCGAUGAACAGUGAAUAGUCGCGAUGAACAGUAUCGCGUGAACAGUCGCGAUGACCAAAACUUUUGCUAGAUGUUUAACCCUAACCCUAGGACUUUUGCUCUGAUACCAUGAGAACAGGUAUCUUGGGAGGAAAAUAUCUAGUCACAGUAUUAUGAGUGACCAACUAGUAUUUAUAGGAGUACAAACCUAACCGACUAUUUACAAGAAUACCCUUACUAAUAUAUUAUCUACAAGAAUACUAAUAUUCUCCUAACAGUCUUGAAUCCGGAUAAUUAGUUAACUUGAUAAUCUAUUGUCAAUUAGGGCAUUAAAUCCGUAAUUGUUUAAUUGCCUUGAAUUAAUGACAACUGGCAUGAUUAGAUUUGUAUGAGGGGGAUACGCGGGCUAAUCUGAAAUAAUCCUGGUAGUGCGUUAUUUGGUUAGAAUAGGACUCCUCUAAUACAUAAGGCAAUUGAAGAAUUAAAUCUUACGGGCGUGACUAAGAUUAUUUCUCAAUUAGAGUAGUGAUUAACGGGCAUACCUUAAUCACCGGCACAGUAAGGAGGGGUUGACUGUCAUCGCUUGUUUAACAGUUAUAACCUAUUUGUUAGUAAAUAAUUAGAAAUGCAUCAAUUAGGUGAACCAUUGUUGAAGUUAUUUCUUGGCUAGACUUUUAAUUAUUAUUACUCUGAUUUUAGUUAUUUGUCAUUUAAUCUUUUGUUGGUUAUUUAUUUUUAUUCGAACCAUUUACUUAUUGCCAUUGCUAUAAAAAUCCUCCAUUGUUACUUUGAACAUAAAAAAGAAACAAAUAUCCCCAAUCCCUGAGGAUACGACCCUACUUGCCCUGUUUACAAAUUAAUAAUUAUUUGUGAAAAAGUCAUCACAUUCGGGUAUAUCGAAUCAAGUAAAUUUUUCGAGAACAGGGUGAAUCAAGUAAUCCAUUGCACACCUAAAGUCCCUACUCCAAUAUUUGGAAUCGGGUUUUGGUUAUUUUAAUUGGUAAAUAGGUUUAUUUUUAUUAUUGCACAGGCAUCUAUAACCUGUCAAUUUUUUGCGCUGUUGUCGGGGACUAGUGUCAGUUAUUUGUUUCUUUUUAAAUUUAUUUUUGUUCUAAUUUUCUGGUUCCUUUGUAUGCCUCGUUCUUUUCGUACAGGUGAAUUAAUUUUCGACCCCUAGGUAGAGAAGAUUGCGCGUAGAACAAGAAAAGAGACCAGAUAACUCAGAGAUGAGCAAUCAAGCGGUGCAUCUCAAAGACCUGAGCCAGAAGUUGAACUAACAAAUUCGUUUGGUGAUACUUCGAGUGACUCGGAUCAAGAAAAAGUGACUAUGGCUAAUGCACAAACAUUAAGGGAGUUCGCUGCUCCUGAUUUAACUCAACAGUCUUUAUGCAUUACUUUUCCAAAUUUAAAUGAUAACACCCCAUUUGAGUUAAAAUCUGGGUUAAUUCAUCUUCUGCCAUCUUUUCAUGGGUUACCAGGUGAGGAGCCUUAUAAGCAUUUGUAGGAAUUUGAUGUCGUGUGCAACAGUAUGAAACCCCCGAGAAUCAGAGAAGAGCAGAUAAAAAUGAGGGUAUUCCCCUUCUCCUUGAAGGAUUUUGCAAAAGACUGGCUAUACUACCUACCACCAGAUAGUAUCACCACGUGGGACCAACUGAAGAAAAAGUUCUUAGACAAGUAUUUUCCCGCCUCUCGAGCUACAAGUCUAAGAAAGGAGAUUUGUGGUAUCAAACAACACCCAGGAGAGUUGCUUUAUGAUUACUGGGAACGAUUCAAGAAAUUAUGCAUCAAGUGCCCCCAGCACCAAAUAAGUAAGCAGUUGCUCAUACAAUAUUUUUACGAGGAGCUACUUUUCAGAGACAAGAGUAUAAUUGAUACUGUGAGUGGAGGGGUUCUGGUGAACAAGACCCCUCGAGCAGCGUGGGAGCUAAUUGAAGGAAUGGCGGAGAAAUCACAGCAAUUUGGUACGAGAGAGGAUGUCCCGAUACGCAAGGUGAAUGAAAUAGAGACAUCCUCUAUCCAACAACAGCUGACUGAGUUGACUUCUUUUGUUAGGCAACUGGCUAUAGGAAAUGCAUCUCAGACCAAGGUGUACGGGAUUUGUACUAGUAUGGGUCAUUCUACAGAGAUGUGCCUAAUGAUUCAAGAAGAAAGUGCAGAACAAGUAAAUAUGGCCGGUCACGCGCCCACGCCAAGAAAGGCCUAUGACCCGUACUCAAAUACGUAUAACGCGGGUUGGAGGGACCAUCCCAACCUCAUCUAUGGAGGGAACAUGCAGUGUAAUUUUGUGUCAAAUAGACAACAAGGGUACCAGCAGCAGUACCAACCCCGACCACCUCCGUCACCAAAAUCUAGUCCAUCUCUGGAGGAGAUAAUGAAACAACUGAUGGCUACCACUGCGCAACAUCAACAAAAGACGGACUUCGAACUGCAUAACAUAAGAAAUCAAAUGAGCCAGAUGCAAUCCAUGCAAAAUCAGAUGAACCAAAUGGCCAUAACAAUCAACUGUUUGGAGUCCCAAGUCCAAGGUAAAUUGCCGUCUCAGUCUGAGUUGAACCCAAAGAACGUAAGCGCGAUGACCCUAAGAAGCGGGAAGGAAAUCUAAGGACCCGAACCUGUGAUCCCGAAGGACAAGGAUGAGGAAAAGAUCGAGAACGAGUUUGGGAAGGAGGACAACAGUGGCACAAAUCCAAAAGUACUCCCCGACCCAAUCAUUACAGUCAAGAUUAACCCGCCUCCCUUUCCUAGCAGGUUGGAGAAACCAAGAAAACAAGAUAAGGAGAAGGAGAUCUUGGAGGUGUUCCGCAAGGUACAGAUUAAUAUCCCCCUUUUAGACGCAAUCAAACAAGUGCCGAAGUACGCAAAGUUUUUUAGGGAUCUGUGUGUCAACCGAAGGCGGCUUAGGGGAGAUGAAAGGGUCAUUGUAGGGGAGAACGUGUCCGUAAUCUUGCAGAGGAAGCUCCCACCGAAAUGCGGGGAUCCAGGUAGGUUUAUUGUCCCAUGUAGGAUAGAUAAUACUUUGAUUAGGAAUAACAUGCUGGACUUAGGAGCAUCAAUCAACGUAAUGUCUAAAUCUAUGUAUGCUUCUCUGAUGCUAGGUUCAUUAAAAGAAACUGAAAUAAUAAUUCAAUUAAUUGACCGAACAAAUGCAUACUCUAAUGAGUUGGUCGAGGAUGUGCUGGUUAGAGUUAAUGAAUUAGUAUUCCCAGCUGACUUUUAUGUAUUUGACAUGGAUGAUGACCAUUCUCCCGACCCCUCGGUUUUGCUCUUAGGUAGACCCUUUUUAAGCACAGCACAGACAAAAAUUGAUGUUAAUAAGGGUACUUUGUCCAUGAAAUUUGAUGGAGAAAUAGUCAAAUUUAAUAUUUUUGAUACAAUGGAACAUCCUGUUAACUCUCACUCUAUGUUUUCUAUUCAUGAUAUUAAUCCCUUUGUGCAAAAAUUUUAUGAGUUUGCUUGCAUGGAUAAAUUCAAAGUUGUUGUGAACAAGUAUCAGGGGAUGAAAGCAAUUUAUAAGGUGAAAAGGAAUAGAAAAUUAAGAAAGAAGGGUACACUCAAUGGCUAUUUGGAUCCUGGAGGAGGGCCAUCGAUUACAAGAAAAAUUGAAUUACAUCCAAAUUGAAGAGUGGUGUUUAAGGUCUAGCCAAAGACGUUAAAGAAAGGCGCUCGUUGGGAGACAACCCAAUUUCUUUUAAUUGUUUGUUCAGUUUUGUUUGAUAGAUUAAAUAUGUUUUCUUUGAGUUUGACUGAUUUCUGGCUUCAAUUUUAGUUUUUGAUGACUCGUAGGUAUCUCUCUGACAUGACGUGCCCGCGUCAUGUCGUAUGGAGAGCUCAUGGUCAGAAGGAUUUUCACCCUCAUGACGCUCCCACAUCAUGUUGUAUGGAGAGCUCAUGGUCAGAAGGGUUCUUGCCUUUUUGAUGUGCCCGCGUCACGUUUGCGGGAAAGAUAAGUAUUCAAAACUCGAAAACAGUUUUCGAUUUCCUGUUACUCUCUAAUUUUAAAUUUCGAAAAUAAGUUUUGUUCAUAAUAAUAAAAUUAAAAAAAAAAGGAAAAAAUUUAAAAUUUAAAAAAAUUUAAAAAAAUUUUUAAAAAAUUUAUUGAAUAAAAAAAAGGAAGUCUUUCUGUUUAGCUAUCACUUUUGAUUUCCAAAAUUAGAAUUUAAAAAAAAUUAAAAAAUGAAAAAAUUGAUGAAAAAAAAAAGAAAAAAACUAUUUUGUUUUUGUUUUUGUCUUUUCUUUUUCUUUCUUUUCCUUCUUUCUUUCUUUCUUUUUCUUUCUUCCCUUCCUUUUCUUUCUUCCUCUUUUCUUUCUUUCUUAUCCCAUGUUUCUUCUUCUCUGUCGACCAAAGACCCUUUGCCCGCCGCCAUCUCCUCCCCUCCUUGCCAUCGCGCGCCACCUUGCGCGCGACGCUCCAUCACGUGGCCGCCCACUUCUCCUGCGGUCGACGCCGCCUUUUCCUCACCCCUCUUCUCUCUCACUCGCCGCCAGCACCAACCGCACGACCACCACCACCUCGCGCGACACAGCCCAACCGAUGCCGCAACCAUUCCCACUUCUUCCCUUGGAGACCAGUGAAAAAUUUGGCAGCGUUUAUGCACCAUGCGACCUUACACCUUAGUUUGGUUUUCACCUACCACUUUGACCCAACUUCAGGGAAGUUUUAUUGCCUUUUCUCCUACUUUUGAUGUUUAUUUGCUACAUUGAGGGCAAUGUAUUGUUUAGGUAUGGGGGGGGAUCAGUUGGGGUGCUAGUUUUUCUAGUUUUAGUUUUUAGAUGUUUUUCCUUUAUUUUUAGUUUGUUAUUUGUCUAUCUUUCGUUUAUUUUCUUUCUUUUUAAUGAUCAGCUCUAAUGUGACUGCCAAGGUUUGAUGUUGGAUUGUUGCCUCUAAUUUCACUAUUGCCGAAUUUUAAUAAUAAAAGUGUAUCGAGAUAAUGUGAUUGAGUCCAAGAACAUCUCUUUGGUGAAUAUCGGUGAUUGCUUGACUCUUUUGAUAUUUGGUUAACUUUUCCAGGCUUAAGGAAUGGUUGUUGGCAUUUUCAUGUGAAUUGAUCCAAUAUUAACUUUAGUUCUCCAUAUUUGAAGAAAUGAGGCUAGUAGCUGCUGUUUUUGUUUGUUUUUGAUGUGUUACCUUGAGUUAUCGUGUAUUUGGAUGUGAAUUAAGGUUGACUGUACUUCGCUAUUAAUUAUUACUGAGUAACUGGGGAUCUUCACCAAAAGUAUCGAUUCUCGCGUAAAAAAGCAAUGAUUUCUAUGAGUACGUGGUCGUAAAGCGAUAGGAGCUAAGUAACCGGGCUCUUUCAUCUGAAAAAUGUUGGAGUUCGCGUCAAAAGACUCAAAUGGCUAAAGACUAAGUCUUUUUGUGCUAUUUUAAACAAAAAAAGAAAAAAAGAAAAGAAAAUAAAUAAUUGAUAGAAAAAAAAACAAGAGUAUAGGUUGUGUUAGUUGGAUAGAAGUCAGCUUGCCGACUUAUGGAUAUAAUGUUGAGAUUCUGGUUAAUAUUUGGACCAUUUACUGAUAAAUAUUGUGCGUCAUUCCUUUCUCUUAGAUUAGUUAACUUGGAAUUGAAGGAGUUUGUGGUUUGAAAGCUAAUCGAGGUGAUAUUUCUCGGAUUUUGAUCACUGAUGUUUGAUAUAUGAUUUUCUUGGUAUCUUGGUAAUAUGAUAGAUAGAGUAAUAGCCAUUGUCAAAUAUUGAUAGACAAGUGCCAAUUUGACAUGAAAGGAGUCCAAGUCACAGAGCUUACCCCUGGGGCAUUGUUGGCAACGGAAAAACUUGGGCCCAUUUCUGUAAUUGUUGAGGAAGAAAGCACGGGCUGUAGUCUUAUUCCCUUGGAGGGGCCGCCGCACAGGAGCGAAGCUUUAGAGUAGCUAGAUAUUAGAUAGAAACAAGCGCAGAGAACUAGCACUACUUUGCUGGCUUAGCCUUUGACUUUUCUUUUUUGUUUAGUUCUUCGUAAUUUUCUUUUCAUUCCUCAGAUGUCAGGAGCAAUUAGGAGAUUCAAUCAUUCUCUGUGGAAAAUUGGGGUGGGGUGUUUGGGUAGAUAAGUCCCUCGCAGGACUUCAAAAGUUGCCGGCUUUUGAAGUUAUUGUGGGGAUUAGGUUUAUUUGCGAAAAACUCUUACUUUGGUAAGAAAAUGUGGAAACAAGAAAAUCAGCUCAGGGGUUCGGGGGGUAGUUACUUCCUAUCAGCGGGGGCCCUUGUGGGGUUUUCUAUCCCACAUCGGAAAAUUGGGGUGGGGUGUUUGGGUAGAUAAGUCCCUCGCAGGACUUCAAAAGUUGCCGGCUUUUGAAGUUAUUGUGGGGAUUAGGUUUAUUUGCGAAAAACUCUUACUUUGGUAAGAAAAUGUGGAAACAAUCAUUCUCUGUAAAUUUUGUUUUCCUUUCAUUUGUUCGGACGAAUUGGGCUUUCCUAAACGCAGAUAAUGGCCGCGACUUUUGCUUCAAUUUUGUAUGGGUGUUUCGCAUCAAAUAUGAACUAAUUUCCCCACUCUAGUCAAGGAACAACGAAAGCUUUGGUUCGCCUAAAAAUUGUGAGAUCGAUUUAAUUUUAUCUUUUUCUUUUAUUUAUUGGUAUUCGCAUAUCCCUUGAUUGCAGUAUUUAUGAUUAUUUAAUUAAUUGAUUGUCUUGAAUCUGGAUAAUUAGUUAACUUGAUAAUCUAUUGUGAAUUAGGGCAUUAAAUCCGUAAUUAUUUAAUUGCCUUGAAUUAGUGACAACUAGUAUGAUUAGAUUUGUGUCAGGGGGAUACGCGGGCUAAUCUGAAAUAAUCCUGGUAGUGCGUUAUUUGGUUAGAAUAGAGCUCCUCUAAUACGUAAGGCAAUUGGGAAAUUAAAUCUUACGGGCGUGACUAAGAUUAUUUCUCAAUUAGAGCAGUGAUUAACGGGCGUACCUUAAUCACCGGCACAGUAAGGAGGGGUUGACUGUCAUCGCUUGUUUGACAGUUAUAACCUAUUUACUAGUAAAUAAUUGGAAAUGCCUUUGCAUCGAUGAUCAAUUAGGUGAACCAUUGUUGAAGUUAUUUCUUGGCUAGACUUUUAAUUAUUAUUAUUCUGAUUUUAGUAAUUUGUCAUUUAAUCUUUUGUUGGUUAUUUAUUUUUAUUCGAACCAUUUACUUAUUGCCAUUGCUAUAAAAAUCCUCCAUUGUUACUUUGAACAUAAAAAAGAAUCCACAGUCCCUGAGGAUACGACCCUACUUACCCUGUUUACAAAUUAAUAAUUAUUUGUGAAAAAAGUCAUCCCAUUCGGGUAUAUCGGAUUAAGCAAACUCUUCGGAAACAGGGCGAAUCAAGUAACCCAUUGCACACCUAGAGUUCCUGCUCCAAUACUUGGAAUCAGGUUUUGAUUAUUUUAAUUGACAAUUAGGUUUAUUUUUAUUAUUGCACAGGCAUCGACAACCUGUCACUUAGGAUAUCAAGCCAAAAGAAAAAAAAAAUCUAAACACCUGUGCAACAAACUUUCUCCAUCCAUCAAAUUAGCCGUACUUUUGCAAAGGAAACCUUGGCAUUGUGGCUAAAAUUGAGAUAUCAAGAAUUAAAGAUCCUAGGUUCUAAUUUCCUGCCCCUUUCCACUUCUUAGAUCUUACCCUUACUUGCUAGGAAAAUUUUUCAAAUUAGCGGUACUUUUAAAAGUCUAAAGAAAGUAAAAUAUUCUAAACUUGUUCUUUUCUAUUUUAUCUUUUAUUUCCAUUCUAAGUAUUUAACUAUUCAAACUGAUCAGAAUGAAAAAUCAAAGAAACUAGAUGACAAUUUUGUUGAGCAAUUUUUACAGUUCUUUAUCCAACUGGUCUCACUUUGCAACUGCUCCUUCCUCUAGAGAAAUUAAUGACAAUCAAUUUAAGAUCUUCUGAGCUCGAAAUGGGUUGUUCAGUUUUUGCAUAACGGAUUUCAUUAGAAUUUAUGAUGCAUUUUAACCAGUGACCUCACAUAUCAAAACUCUUCUUCAAGAAAACACACUUUUUUUUCUUUCUACUUUAAAGAUGUUAUAUUUUGUCAACUUAAUCUUUUUUUCCUUUUUAUUACAAAUAUAUCUGUUCUCUACAAUUUAAAUAGACAAAUUGCAUCUGUUUUUAACAUUGGAUGUAAUCCAUCUCUUUCCACUAUACAUUUACAAUUUGAAAAUACACCUUCAUGUUUUGAAGUAUUUUACCACAAUCUCUACUACUACAAUUGAAUGCCCUUAAUUUUUUUGAAAAUUAUUAAAUAACGUAUAAAAAAUUUAGCUUUUUAAUAUUGCCAAGCUCUUGCCUCCUCAUUUUUCAAAAAUACUCUAUCUAGCCCCCCCAUUGUCCUCCAAAAGUAUUGAAAUUUUUUUACAUUUUCCCUCACUAUUUCUAAAAUAGAACCUUGAAAUAUAACAUAAUGCAAUUUUUAAUUCCUUUCUAAUAAAUCUUAUUUACUUAACAUUGAACUUCAUUUAUGUAUCCAAGUGUAUGAAUUGCAAGUGAACCAAAUAAUUCUUUGACAGUUUAACCGCGUGCAGGUAGUCUGCCUAUUGGAUAAGUUAAAAUGCAUAUUUUUAAUUUUAUAAGUAAUAUUAACAAUUCUGCAAUCAUACCAUUAAAUGACCUGGUAACUACUACACAAUCAAUCACAAACUAUAUAAAUUUUUUUAUGGGAUUUUCGUAAUGUUCAAUAAAUUUGCUCAUAUGUAUUAAAUUUAUUAUGAUAAAUGCUUCUACCAAAAAAGUCACAAACCACAGGUUGUGAGUUGAAUCUAAAAUAAUUUAUCCUCCUGUUGCUACUUCUUUUGUUGAGUUACGUUGUUGACGAGGUUCUACCAUACACCAAAUUUAAUAAAAUCUAAAUACAUUGUUUUCUACAAGUAUACAGAUCAUAUAUAUCGUGUACAGGAAUUAUUAGGUAUCGAUCCCACAGAAAAGAAUGUUAAUUACUGAUGGUUUUCAAACACUUUUAUUAGUUAGACUAUCAAAAAUGUAAGAAAUUAAAUCUACACUACAAACAUGAAAAAUAACAAUAGAAAAUUCCUUGGGUUAUGAAAUUUCUCACUACUCUUACAAGUGAAAAAACUGAUUAAGUGAAUGUUAUUAUUUUGACUAGUUAUGGUGUAAUUUCCUAAUAAAUGUGAAACUACUCUCGUAGUGAAUCAAUUAUAUUUGUAACUAAGUCAUACCUAUUUUUGUGGUUAUAAAAUUGACUACAAGUUUAUUUCUUUUAUGAAAUUACAUGCAACAAGCCGCUAAACUACAAAGGUGCUCCUCUACUCUUGUGAGUGCACUUCCUAAGUUUAACAUUUCUUGAACUAGUGUUAAAUUUCAAUUCUCAUUGUAAACUUAACAUCUUAAAAUUAUCAUAAUUAAUGACCAGUUAAUCAUGAUUAGAUAAGUAAAAGUGCUAAAUAACUUACUCAAAAAUAUAAUUCAAAUAACCAUGAAAAUGUUCACAUAACAAUCAUAGAAGCUUAUCCACACCCUAGAUAUAAAAACUAGUGAAACAUAAAAGACAUGAAAAUAAGAUCCAAACUUGUAAUGUAAUCAAACGUUAGAAUUAAUACAAGAAAUAAAGUGAUAGGAGAAAUAUAAUCCUUGUCACAUGAGCUCCAAUCUCUCCAUCUUCAUCCUCAACUUCAUGUAUGCUUAGUUGCAUACAAGAUUUGGAUGAAACAAACUAUACUAAUCUAUCCUAACUACUAAACUAAGAAAAUUUUGUGAAUGACUAUAUUUUUAUGUAGUUUCUCUAGGAUCCAAAGUUAUGAAAAUAUGUUUUCAAACCCCCUAAUUAUAGAUGAAUUCAAGUUCCAAAUGAGUUGUUAACUUUUUAAUGUAAAAUGGUUUUUGAAAUUCCCAAAAUAUUAUUCUACAAGUAUCCAUGCUCUCUUUUUCACAACUAUAGCCAAAUUCUUGAUGAAAUUGAGCUGUAAAAAGUUGUAAAAAUAUCAGAGCAAUUAUCUAUGUAAGUUGCACAACUUUCUUAAGAAUAUGCGAGGUCAAUACGCAGGUGUAAGGUUGCAUAUUGCACCCGCGUAUUGCCUCCCUUAUAGGUUUGCACUUUUCUAAUCAGUUUUCAACAUUGCUUUAUUUUUACACCAAAUUUAACUGAUAUUUUCUCUAUAAACUAACUCUCGUAUAAAAUAGGAAAUUUGUAACCCUUUGAGCUAACUUUUCAAUUCAUCAAGAAUCAUCUAAUUUGAAACUUUGUAGACUAAUAAAUGAUCAAAAUACUCUUAAAUGGUCAAAACUUGUUUCAACUUUCGAUAACAAAAAUGGCUGACUAUAUUUCAACUUUUUGACUAGAAAAACUCAUGAACUAAAUUUUGAUGUCUUCAUAAGAAAUGUAAAGUUAUGUCUUAGCUUCAAAAUGGCUAUAGAAUCACCUCAAUCCGAUACUUUUAGCUCAAGAUAUAGCCAAAAUACCAAAAUAUAUCAAAACUGUCAAACAUUUCUUCUUUUAUUCAUGAUUGCAUUUCAUCUUUUGAACAUUUUGCACUUCAUAUUUUCUUUAAAUCACUUCAAAUGAUCAACAAUAAUCCAAAUAUCUUCUUCACUCCAUUUGGUGAUUAAAAAGUUACAACAAUUAUUGACCUCUGUAAUUCCCUUGUAAGUACUUCUAGUGUAUCACCAAUUAUCCCAGCAAUGGACGACAGGGUUGUGAUGUCAUACUUGGGCAAUAGAUAAUUGUCAAUUUGGUGAGAGAUAAUAAGUAUUGACUGACUUUCUCCCUUAUAUAGUUCUUGGGAAAAUCAAGGCCUUGUUUGCUUUGUAAUUUUUCAUAAAAAAAUGUUUUUGUUUUCUAUGAAUACAUUUUUCAAUCAUUUUUUUUUACAUUAUAUAUAUCAAAUCAUCACAAUAUAUUUUUUUAUAAAAAUUUCAAAAAAUAGCAAUCCAAAUAGACCUUAGAUUUUUAAUGAAUGUAAAAUGGAUCUUUUAUGGAAGAGUUGAUGGUGGUGGUAGGUUAGGGGUGGUGACUGAGGGAAAUGGAGAUGGAAUUCACGUUUAGGUAGAAGUUGAAUGAGUUUUUGCACCUGGACAUUUUGGUAAUUUAAGCCAAAUCUUAUUGCAUUUAAUAUUGGUUCACUCCAUUUUUGGGCUAAUUACUUAGAAUAUUGCCGAAAAAAAAAUCAGAAGAAUGGUUGUCUUGACAGUGUGAUAGUGCAAAACUAUUGUUGCCGGGCUGACAAAAUCCUUUUUUUUUUCAAAAGAACAGUGGCUGCCGGGCUGUGUUAGCAAAAGAAACCACUUGUGUCAGUCCUGCCGGGCUGACUACAAAAGUUUUGAAAAAAAUAGGCUGGACUUUUUUUAAUGUUUUAUAGAACUAUCAUGCAAGAUUAAGAUUGAUGCUUGUUUCUCAUUUUCUUCUGAACACUGAAUAUGGACCCUUAUAAUGAGAUCGAACCAAUGCAACGCAUAGCCGCUCAGGAACAAAUAGCAACUUGGUUUAUACAAAAAGUUUAUUGCUCAAGGUCUAGCAUGUGGUAAAUUUAAUUAGAUAGCUGUAGGUAUAGGUGUCAAACAAAUUUAUUUAAUUAAAUUUAUCCAUAUUCACCCAUGAAUAGAUGGGUAUGGAUAUCUUAAAUUUUUGCAUAUGGAUAUAAAUGAGUUACCCAUAUUAAAUGGGUAUUAUUGGGUAAGCCAUCAAAGCUAAUUAACUCAUUUAAAAUUGUCUUCCCCCAAAUCUCCUCUCUUCCCUCACCCAUUUUUUUAAAAGUUUUUCAUUUUGUCAUGAUAUUUACUACUUUUGUUUCAUUAUUAUUAUUAUUAUUUGUUAAUUUUAUCUUAUCAUUUUAUUUUCUCUUAGUUUAUUAAUUUGCUCAUUUCUCAGUAUUACCAAUUUAUGACAAAUUUUAUCCUUUUUUCGUACCUUUCCAAAAUGAAAUUUUAAAUUUGCACACGAAUAAAAUGCUAGGGGUUCAAAAUUUUUGGAUUAAAUUUUUAUGUUAACUUUUAUAGUAGUUAGUUCAAAUUUUUAUAUUCUUACUGUUCAAUUAUUAAAUAGUAUGUAAUUUUGUGACAUAAAGUAUGGAUGGGUAAAAAAUUGGUAAUUAGGCUUAUUGCAUAUUACAAGUAAAUAUUUAAAACUAAUAAUGAGUGCAAAAGAUGGUAUAAAUUGAUAACUUAGUUUGGAAAAAUGAAUUUAAAUAAGUUUACCGAAAGUUAAAAUAAAUGGGUUAUAAUUGUAAAAAUUGAGUUUGAAACCUUCUACUUAUUAUACUGAAUAAAAAAAGAUUAUAACGAAACAAGUGCUAUAAAAAAAUAAAUUUAGAAAGGAAAAAAAGGAACCCAAAAAAAAUGUGAAUUUAUCCAUAUGAUAUAACUGCUGGCGUGGUGACCGAGUGAAAGUUGGGGAGGAAUAGACAAUAAAAUAUGGAAGCUAAGGGUUGGAAAGUCCACACCACCUGUGAGUCAGAUACAUAUAGAGAGUCUGAGAGAUGAGAAGAGAAACACUUGGAAACUAAGUGCAUGUGGUGCUGCACCUUUUUUUUUUUUUUUUUUCCAAACUUUUCGAGUCUCUGCCGGGCUGACAGAGUCCGGCAAGACUGACACUUUUUUUAUAAAAAAAUUUUUUUCAUUAGCUAUCGGACUGACUAAGUCCGACAGCAAUAGUAUACAACCAUUCUUCCGAUUUUUUUUUUUUUUUUACAAUAUUCUAAGUAAUUAGCCUCAUUUUUGAAUCUUAUAUCUACUUUAUGAACUUUUGAAAAGUUGCACACCAUUUCUGAGUAUUGAUUCUUCCGACUUCCAUAUCCGAAAUUCUCCCAAAUAUUUAAGAUGAUGGGCAAUAUUUUUUUAAGGGGUUUUUUUAUUUCUUCAGUUUUUAUGUUUUCAGCUGGAAAAUCUAUGUUGGGAUAACAUUUUAUAUUUAGUCACGUUGUUUUUUCAUAAUUUUUUUAUAAUAAUUAUUAGUUUACUAAGCAAGCUCUUGCUGCAAAGAUGAUUUUAGCAAUUCAGCCUUGAUGAUGGCUUUUAUGCUAUCUAAUUGCCAUAGUUUUUUCCACCCUCCACUAGUAGUCUAAAAGGAUAAUCAAUUCCUUUUGACAAGAGAAUUAAAAUUAAAAGUUUAUUUUAUUGCUAUGUUGGCAGGAUUUGUCUGCUGAGUUUGUGUUUGAAUUUUUUAAGAAGUGUUACGUAAAUAAUUAUAGUUGCAAUGGGUAUAGUUUAUCGGAGUUAAAUGUCUUGAUUUUUAGGUGUUCUUAAACUCCUAAUUAAGCCGGUGUUCGCAAGGAUAAUGAUGGUAUUCAUGAAAAAUACUUUAAGAUAUUAGUGUGAGCAAUUUUGAAUAUGGUAUUUACGUGUUAAAUUUUAUGGACCAUUGAGGCCUUAAUAAUGAAUCCCAUGAAGACGGAUGCAAGGUAAAUAUGCUAUGUGUCUAUAUUAAAAAAGAAAGUUCAGAAAUAGAUAUGAAACUAUCCACAAUAGAGUUGCGGUCUUGUAGUUAGAGAAAUCUUUAAGGGUAAUGUUUUUAUACAUUGUAAAUAUAUACUGGUGCGAUAUUUUUUAUGUACUGUCAGUGUUCAACAUGGACAGAUGUACAAACUUUUUGUUUCUGUGAGUACUAUAAUAAGUAGUGCCUCUUCAAACAAAAUAAUAAUAAUAAUAAUAAUAAAAGGAAAAGGCUUCAAAUUCUUUUUUAAUUUAAGUGUUCUUCGAAUUUAAAAAACAAAAAACGCAAAACGUCCAACCAUACAUCUAUGUACCUUGGACUCGUCCUUUUGUACCUAAAUUAAUUCCAUCCUAUUGUCCUCAAAAGGAAAUUCAAAGGCAAUACGUGGUUAGAAUUUCAUUUGGGUAAGUUGCAAAACAAAUAAUCCAUUUUCCUAAUGGGUUAUUACUUUAUAUCUACUAGUAGUAUCUUAUCAUUUUUGCAUUAUUUUAAUAAUCUUAUAGUCUUUCUUUUAAUAAACUGAUCCUCUACGCUGUCCUCUUUGUUAUUGCUUUGUAAGCUAGUUGCACUCUUAUUUAGAGAAGACAUUUUAAUACCGCACAAGUAUACAUUAACAAUGUAUAAACAAAAAUUUCCUCUUUUUUAUUUCCCACUUUUUCUCUACUUCAUUUAUCUAAUAAAUCUCAUGCUCCUAAUUUUUCAUAAAAAAAUCUCGUCAUGCAAAGCAAACACCAGACUAUCUCUUUCCUAUCGCAUCCACCACAGUCACAAAAUCAUUUAAGUAUGCUAAUUUAGCAUACUUGGCAAUCAUAGUACUGGUUUUAUAAUUGACCUCCUAUAAAUUAUAUCUUGGAUUAGUUCUAUUGUUUCUUUUUUUUAGUAUGGAUUAAAAAUGUAAAUUAAUUUAUACUCAAUCUUUUUUGCUAAAUAAUUUCCUCAUGUGUCAUUUCGUUAAUACUAGCUUUAGUGAUGUAUUUGUUACUCUUAGAAUGAUUAAUAAUAUAUUUAUUGAUAAAGAUGUACAUUAAAUGUGGGCAUGGUAGUAGAUUGGUAAACUAAUUACACGUUAAAUUGUAAUCCACUUUCUAAUUGAAAAAUAUAAUUAACUUUUAACUUCUUUAGAAUACCUUUAUUUAAUGUACUUUGUUAUCAGUGAGUCUAAGCUAUCUUAUUCAAUAAUUACUUUAAUUCAUGCCUUAAAUGGUACAGCUUCCAUCAAUAUUAUUAUUGUAAUUAAUAUAAAGAUAUAAUAAUUGAUCAUACUCCUAAUAUUAAUGUAAGGAUAUUAAUAAAAUUACUCUUUCAAUAAUUACUUUAGUAUUAUAACUAUUUUACAAUCUUUGUAGAUAUUAUUGAAAAUGAACAGUACGUAUUAUAAAUCAUUUACUGCUUUAGUAUCUUCAUUUGCCUCCAAUCGGCAUCGUUUCUAUGCGGUGUAAAAAUGUCCAUUACCUGGAAAUGCAACUUGGCCGACAGUUGGCAAAAGUUCCCUCGUUUAGGCCCCAGGGUAGGGACCUGAGGUCACCACCAGAAUCCUGCAGGUUGCAACAAGAAAAGAACGAGUCUGGUCCCAGAGUGAAUGGAAGAUGCAACCAUGAAGAUAAAAUAUUUCUGGAUACAUUUUUUAAUAUUUUUUAAUUAUAUAUAUAUACAUAUAUAUAUAUAUAUUAAAUCAGGGAAGUUGUCCAACUGGAGCCAGAAUAUGAUAGAAGCAAACACCAGAAUAUGUCUUUCCUGUUGCAUCCGUCUCGCUAGCAUAGGCUAACUUCUAUAUAGACUAAAAAAAUGUAAGCUACCGUAUACUUAGUGCAAUAAUUUUUUCUUACUAAUUUCCUCAUAUUUCCUUUGGCUAAUACACUAGUUUUGGUGUUGUAUUGAUUACUCCCCUACCGGCUACCGCCUAAAGUCUCCAACAAGGAAAGAAGAAAGAGUCCCGCCCACAAUAUUUGACUAAGUUUAGUCAAGGUACAAAUCGGAAGGGAUAAAAUACAGUAACGGAGUGGUUGGAUAGCAAAUUAUUUUCAGCAGUGAGACCUAUUUAUGCAGUUUUUUUUUUUGGUUACUGCGAUCUUGAGAAUAUUCGUCUAAAUAUAGAAUCCUCAUGGUUGACAACAAACAGACAAUAAUUAGAGUAUAAACACCUGUAUUCUUACUUGUUGAAGUAUAGACAGGGCAAAAUUGGUUUCAAAAUAAGAUUCUCCAAUUUUGUAGCCUAAGACCACAAAAUAAGCGUUAGACAUUGUGUGUUAUCUGAUUGUUAUGACUUUUUCCGCCCUCCUCUAUAGUAGUCAAAGAGCAAUCAAUACCUUUUUACAAGAGAAUCACACUUAAAAUACAUCAUAUUGAUGAAAAAUGUUACCUUAAUAUGUCUAGAGUUUUAGGUGUCCUCGAACUUCUAAUUGAGUUGGCAUUGGCAAGGAUAAUGAUGGUAUUGAUGAAAAAAUAGUUCACGAUAUUAAUAAUAUAAUAUGAGAAGUUUUGACAAAAGCUUAUAUUAGGCGUUUUCAUUCAGGUAAAAUUAUAACUAUUUACAGUUUUUCUAGGUAUCGAAAAUGAACAGCAAGUAUUAUGAAACAGUUACUGCUUUAUUAUCUGGAUUUGCCUCGAAUUGGUAUCGUUUACUUGGAAACGCAUUCCGGCCGAAAGUAGACAAAAGCUGAACCCUUUAGGCCCCAGGAAAGGGCCCCGAUUGUGGCCACAGGCCAGGCCAGGAAAAUAAAGAGUCUAGCCGACGACAUUUGACUAUUUUCAUAUCAUGAGAAAGUUGUAAACCUUGAACUAAUGUUUAUUCAACAUACAAAUUUGAUCUCAGAGUGAAUAGAAGAUACAAUAAUGGAGAUAUCCUGCAGCAGUAGCCGUAGUUGCUUUGAGCUCGCUCUAGAAUAUAUUCGCUGCUUGCAUGGUACCACCACAGGGUGCGGUUAUCUUAUCUGGAAGCUGCAGAGGGGGGUAAGACUAUUACAAGGCUUUGAUCUGUAUCUGACAAAGUGUAGGAGGAGGAACCAUGAAACCUGUUUGGAACAAGAUGAGAAGGAGAAGGAUGUUACGUCUUCAAGAAUUCAAGAUCUGAUUACCAGGAGAAUGCAAGAUCUUGAAUUUGCUUGCAGCGGAUGCUUGGAUCAUUCAAGAUCGCUUCAUUCGACUCGUGUUAAAAGUGAGCUCACCAUAUUCCUGGAAGCAAUCAAGUUGUUUUUCGAAACAGAUAUCAAAGAUCUGCUGCACUGUUACUGGCUGCGAGAUCCAGAGCUAGUUAUUGAUUUCAUUGAUUCUGUUUCCGAGAUUCUGGAGGAAAUUUUCUUAUCCCAUUUCAAACGCCUUGACGAGGAGCUAAUGUUCUUGAAGAGUUUCAUUUGCUUUGCUAUACUUCGCGGUGUCAAGGGUCAGCAACUGACAGAUCUCUUGAUUCACGCUGAAGUGAUGGCUAUCAAUGCAUUACACUUGGUUUCUAGAUGGUGCUUUCACACAGAUAAUGAACUACAGAAUGAAACAGAACUUCAAAUAUCUCGACUAAUACGUGAGAAGAUUAAUCCCGGUGAUCCCAAGGUCCUAGAAACUUACAUCCAUGUCUUGACUGCUUCAAAGUUAUCAAGAUCGUCAGACACUUCAGCUCUGGAGAAGAGUAAGCAAACAGUAGCUGACUUUAUGGAUUAUCUCGUUCAGAAUACUGCGGAGCUAUUACAACCUUGUACCGGCACUCCAGUCCCGAUUAUGAAUCAAAUGCUCAAAAUUGUUGAGGGGUUAAGAUUCCUGACAAUCCUUCUUAGGCAUCAGGAGAAGUUCAAAGAGCUAUGCCAUGAAAUGAAGAAUCUUAUUGGAAUUGUGGCCUGUGAUGCAGCGAUUGUAAUCUUCUCCCUUUUUGUGAAUCAAAUCGAUGAAGGCUUGGCCAAGGAAACCGAUCUUGUUCUUUUUCAUUUGCUCAAAGUGUUCAAGCUUAUAAGGGCAGAAUUUACACAGGUCUAUCCACUAACAUCAGUAUCGAGAUUUGGUUUUCCUAGGAUCAGAGAGUUGGGCUCUAUGGAUUUUCUUCUAAGAAAUCUACAGGAACUAGCAAGGUCUGAUGAAAUUAAUGGUUCAAAUGCUUUUCCAGUGGAUAAAAUCCAGACGAUCCAAGAGGAUUUUGAAUUUUUAAGAUCUUUCCUGAAGAAAAUCAAGGAGCAACGCAACCAGAACGAAAAACUUCAAGCUUUCUGGAGUCGUGUUAUGGAGGUUGCAUAUAAAGCAGAGGUAGUGAUCGAUUGGACACUUGUUGGUGAUGGAUGUGAAUAUUUUUUGGAUGAUGUUGCUCGAGAUAUCAAUGUUAUGAAGAUUGAGGCUCAAGCGAUCUAUGAUAGCAUAAGCUAUGUUGGUGAAACCACCAAGGGAGUUACCAAGACUUUCACUCACGUGCCAUCACAAGUUACUGCCGCCACGUGCAAUAAAGAUCUGGUGCCUCUCGACGACGAGGUGGAAAAUAUCACUAAAAGUCUUACAAGAGGAGGAUCAAGGCGGUUGGAUGUUGUUUGCAUCGUGGGUAUGCCUGGGCUUGGUAAGACCAUGGUUCAAAGUCGCGGUCGAGGUCGCGGCUUGGAACGUUCCACAUCGGUUUCGACAUAUCGGUCACGGUCUCGGUGAGACGCAAAUUUUAAAGAAUUUAAUAUUCUAAAAAUUGUUAAUAAUAUAAAAAAAGUAUGCUAAACAAAAAUAAUAAAAAAUAGCCAAAGAAAUGGCCAAAUCAAUCCGUCGCGGUGUAACUCGGCUGAUUUCUCGUCUUGACUCGGGAUAACUCGAACUGACUCAGUGUGACUCGGCCGAAUCAAUCCGUCGCGGUGACGUCUCGGCCGAUUUCUCGGCGAGAUGACUAUCUCGGUCUCGAUUCGUCGCGGUCUCGUCUCGGACUAGUCCGAGACGGUGACGACUCGGCCGAGUCGUCUCGGUCUCGGCCGAGUCUUCGAACCAUGGGUAAGACCACAUUAGCUAAUAGAGUUUACAAUUCUCCAUCAGUAAUGUCGCAUUUCCACAUUCGUGCUUGGUGCAUUGUUUCUCAAGCAUAUAGCAUGCACAACAUGUUAGUUCAGAUAUUGGGUAGUAUUGAAUCAGGGAAACUUGAGCAAUAUCAAAAGGUGGAUGAAGAUGAUUUGGCUGUAAAGCUAAAACAAGUUUUGUUGAGAAAUAAGUAUCUCUUGGUUUUGGAUGAUUUGUGGGACGCUAAGGCUUGGAAUUUGUUGGAGAGAUCAUUGCCCGAUGACGACAAUGGAAGCAGGAUUCUCAUCACGAGCAGAUUGCAGAAUUUGUCUCUACAAUUCAAACCUGAUAGCAAGAUUCAACAUCUCCGCCACCUUACCGACGAAGAGAGUUGGAAUUUGCUGCAGAAAAAGCUAUUUGGCAAAGAAGGUUGUCCACCAAGACUAAGUCGAGUUGCAUCUCAAAUAGCAAAAUCUUGUAGGGGCUUACCUCUCACGAUUGUCCUUGUUGCUGGAAUUCUUGCUAAUACUGCAGAAGACUACUGGGAAGAAGUUACAAAGAGUCUAACUUCCAGUAUUGUCCUUGAUGACAAAUACUGCAUGAAGACACUUGAGCUGAGUUACAGUCAUUUACCAGAUGAUUUGAAGCCAUGCCUUCUUUACUUUGGUGCAUUUAAAGAAGACGAAGAUGUUCCUGUCCAAAGGUUGUUAUGGCUCUGGAUCUCUGAAGGAUUCAUGCGAAAGACUGAAGGAAAGAGAUUAGAGAAUGUGGCAGAUGACUACUUGAGGAACCUGGUUGAUAGAAGUUUAGUUAUGGUUUCCAAACAAAGAAGUACGGGUGGUGCCAAAGCCUGCCGAGUUCAUGAUUUGGUACACGAGUUUUGUGUGAAAAAAGCCAAAGAAGAAAACUUUCU